rnacentral:rRNA from 1 species
GUAGGGUGCGAGCGUUAAUCGGAAUUACUGGGCGUAAAGGGUGCGCAGGCGGUCCCGCAAGUCAGGCGUGAAAUCCCCGGGCUUAACCUGGGAAUGGCACUUGAAACUACGGGACUUGAGUGUGGCAGAGGGAGGUGGAAUUCCACGUGUAGCGGUGAAAUGCGUAGAUAUGUGGAGGAACACCAAUGGCGAAGGCAGCCUCCUGGGUCAACACUGACGCUCAUGCACGAAAGCGUGGGGAGCAAACAGGAUUAGAUACCCUGGUAGUCCACGCCCUAAACGAUGAUGACUAGUUGUUGGAGGAGUUAAAUCCUUUAGUAACGCAGCUAACGCGAGAAGUCAUCCGCCUGGGGAGUACGGUCGCAAGAUUA